rnacentral:rRNA from 1 species
UGGGGAAUUUUGGACAAUGGGCGAAAGCCUGAUCCAGCAAUGCCGCGUGUGUGAAGAAGGCCUUCGGGUUGUAAAGCACUUUUGUCCGGAAAGAAAUCCUUGGCUCUAAUACAGUCGGGGGAUGACGGUACCGGAAGAAUAAGCACCGGCUAACUACGUGCCAGCAGCCGCGGUAAUACGUAGGGUGCAAGCGUUAAUCGGAAUUACUGGGCGUAAAGCGUGCGCAGGCGGUUUGCUAAGACCGAUGUGAAAUCCCCGGGCUCAACCUAGGAACUGCAUUGGUGACUGGCAGGCUAGAGUAUGGCAGAGGGGGGUAGAAUUCCACGUGUAGCAGUGAAAUGCGUAGAGAUGUGGAGGAAUACCGAUGGCGAAGGCAGCCCCCUGGGCCAAUACUGACGCUCAUGCACGAAAGCGUGGGGAGCAAACAGGAUUAGAUACCCUGGUAGUCCACGCCCUAAACGAUGUCAACUAGUUGUUGGGGAUUCAUUUCCUUAGUAACGUAGCUAACGCGUGAAGUUGACCGCCUGGGGAGUACGGUCGCAAGAUUAAAACUCAAAUGAAUUGACGGGGUCAUA